GGCAACUAGCCUCCGAGAGGGGGUGUAAAGAUGGACAAGAUCCUCGAGCUAUUCAUUAUGCCGCUCCUGGUCGACAUAGUCGGAGGACUCAUCGAUCGCUGGCUGGACGAUGACGAAUGAAUAGAAGCUAGCUGCCAUCCAGCCCACGCGCUAUGGCCGCAUACGUCGUAGUGAAAAA
rnacentral:ncRNA from 1 species